GACGAACGCUGGCGGCGUGCUUAACACAUGCAAGUCGAACGGAGUGGCGAACGGGUGAGUAACACGUGGGUGAUCUGCCUUGCACUUCGGGAUAAGCUUGGGAAACUGGGUCUAAUACCGGCUAGUGCAAGAUGAGCUCGCGGCCUAUCAGCUUGUUGGUGGGGUAAUGGCCUACCAAGGCGUCGUCGGGUAGACGGCCUGUGAGGGUGUACGGCCACAUUGGGAGCGAGAGACGGCCGAGACUCCUACGGGGGGAAGCAGUGGGGAAUAUUGCACAAUGGGCGGAAGCCUGAUGCAGCGACGCCGCGUGGGGGAUGAAGGCCUUCGGGUUGUAAACGCCUUUCGACAGGGACGCGGUACCUGUAUAAGAAGCACCGGCUAACUACGUGCCAGCAGCCGCGGUAAUUUC
rnacentral:rRNA from 1 species